rnacentral:tRNA from 1 species
GUUGGCGUAGCUCAGUGGUAGAGUGCAUGCUUUGUAUCUAUAAUGUCCUGGGUUCGAUCCCCAGCUUCUCCC